GACAGAGGUGCCAAGCGUUAGGCGGAAUCACUGGGCUUAAAGCGUGUGUAGGCGGGUCGUUAAGUGUCUUGUGAAAUCCCCCGGCUCAACCGGGGAAUGGCUGGGCAUACUGGCGAUCUUGAGCAGUCUAGGGGCAGAUGGAGCAGACGGUGGAGCGGUGAAAUGCGUAGAUAUCGUCUGGAACGCCAAAGGUGAAGACAGUCUGCUGGGGACUUGCUGACGCUGAGACGCGAAAGCCAGGGGAGCGAACGGG
rnacentral:rRNA from 1 species